rnacentral:rRNA from 1 species
AUUGAACGCUGGCGGCAGGCCUAACACAUGCAAGUCGAGCGAGCGGCGGACGGGUGAGUAAUGAAAGGGGACUGCCUGAACGAGGGGGAUAACUACUGGAACCGGUAGCUAAUACCGCAUACUAUCGGAUAACCCAUAUGGGAUUAGCUAGUUGGUGAGGUAAUGGCACACCAAGGCGACGAUCCCUAGCUGGUCUGAGAGGAUGAUCAGCCACGCUGGGACUGAGACAAGGCCCAGACUCCUACGGAGGCAGCAGUGGGGAAUAUUGCACAAUGGGCGCAAGCCUGAUGCAGCCAUGCCGCGUGUAUGAAGAAGGCCCUAGGGUUGUAAAGUACUUUCAGUCGGGAGGCGUUACCGACAGAAGAAGCACCGGCUAACUCCGUGCCAGCAGCCGCGGUAAUUC